AGGCCCAAACUUGCUCCACUACUGUAAGAAAGAAAGCAUACUUGAAGGACUCUCAAUUAGCUAGGUGCUCAAGGAGGUGGACGCAAUCCUCUAAACAAUUACUAAGGUCAAGGUCUUGGCAUGUCUAAUAUUCUGACCAGAACAAU